rnacentral:misc_RNA from 1 species
GAUGAAGAACGCAUCGAAAUGCGAUAAGUAAUGUGAAUUGCAGAAUUCAGUGAAUCAUCGAAUCUUUGAACGCACAUUGCGCCCGCCAGCAUUCUGGCGGGCAUGCCUGUUCGAGCGUCAUUUCAACCCUCGCAGCCCAUCUGGGCAGCGGUGUUGGGGACCGGCACCACCGGCGAAGCCCUUAGGGGCCCAGCCGGCGCCGCCCCCGAAAUACAGUGGCGGUCUCGCUGCAGCCUCCCUUGCGUAGUAGCACACCUCGCACCGGAGCGCAGCGCGGCCACGCCGUAAAACCCCCGACUUUCUGAGUUUGACCUCGAAUCAGGUAGGAAUACCCGCUGAACUUAAGCAUAUCAAUAAGCGGAGGA